CAAUAGCGUAUAUUAAAGUUGUUGCGGUAAAAAAGCUCGUAGUUGGAUUUCUACCGAAGAUAGCCGGUCGGGUCUUCGACCUUGUAUCUGGUUUUGUCUUUGGUAUCCUCAUAGGGAACGUUUCUGCGCUUUAUUGCGUGGUGCGGUAUCUAUGACUUUUACUUUGAGGAAAUUAGAGUGUUCACGGCAGGCAAACGCCUUGAAUAUAUUAGCAUGGAAUAAUAACAUAGGAUCUUCGUCCUAUUUUGUUGGUUUCUAGGGCUAAGAUAAUGAUUAAUAGGGAUAAUUGGGGGCAUCUGUAUCAACGCGUCAGAGGUGGAAUUCUUGGAUUGCGUUGCGACAAACUACUGCGAAAGCAUUUGCCAAGGAUGGUUUCAUUGA
rnacentral:rRNA from 1 species